AGCGUACACGGUGGAUGCCCUGGCAGUCAGAGGCGAUGAAGGACGUGCUAAUCUGCGAUAAGCGUCGGUGAGGUGAUAUGAACCGUUAUAACCGGCGAUUUCCGAAUGGGGAAACCCAGUGUGUUUCGACACACUAUCAUUAACUGAAUCCAUAGGUUAAUGAGGCGAACCGGGGGAACUGAAACAUCUAAGUACCCCGAGGAAAAGAAAUCAACCGAGAUUCCCCCAGUAGCGGCGAGCGAACGGGGAGCAGCCCAGAGCCUGAAUCAGUGUGUGUGUUAGUGGAAGCGUCUGGAAAGGCGCGCGAUACAGGGUGACAGCCCCGUACACAAAAAUGCACAUGCUGUGAGCUCGAUGAGUAGGGCGGGACACGUGGUAUCCUGUCUGAAUAUGGGGGGACCAUCCUCCAAGGCUAAAUACUCCUGACUGACCGAUAGUGAACCAGUACCGUGAGGGAAAGGCGAAAAGAACCCCGGCGAGGGGAGUGAAAAAGAACCUGAAACCGUGUACGUACAAGCAGUGGGAGCACCCUUUUGGGUGUGACUGCGUACCUUUUGUAUAAUGGGUCAGCGACUUAUAUUCUGUAGCAAGGUUAACCGAAUAGGGGAGCCGAAGGGAAACCGAGUCUUAACUGGGCGUUAAGUUGCAGGGUAUAGACCCGAAACCCGGUGAUCUAGCCAUGGGCAGGUUGAAGGUUGGGUAACACUAACUGGAGGACCGAACCGACUAAUGUUGAAAAAUUAGCGGAUGACUUGUGGCUGGGGGUGAAAGGCCAAUCAAACCGGGAGAUAGCUGGUUCUCCCCGAAAGCUAUUUAGGUAGCGCCUCGUGAAUUCAUCUCCGGGGGUAGAGCACUGUUUCGGCAAGGGGGUCAUCCCGACUUACCAACCCGAUGCAAACUGCGAAUACCGGAGAAUGUUAUCACGGGAGACACACGGCGGGUGCUAACGUCCGUCGUGAAGAGGGAAACAACCCAGACCGCCAGCUAAGGUCCCAAAGUCAUGGUUAAGUGGGAAACGAUGUGGGAAGGCCCAGACAGCCAGGAUGUUGGCUUAGAAGCAGCCAUCAUUUAAAGAAAGCGUAAUAGCUCACUGGUCGAGUCGGCCUGCGCGGAAGAUGUAACGGGGCUAAACCAUGCACCGAAGCUGCGGCAGCGACGCUUAUGCGUUGUUGGGUAGGGGAGCGUUCUGUAAGCCUGUGAAGGUGUACUGUGAGGUAUGCUGGAGGUAUCAGAAGUGCGAAUGCUGACAUAAGUAACGAUAAAGCGGGUGAAAAGCCCGCUCGCCGGAAGACCAAGGGUUCCUGUCCAACGUUAAUCGGGGCAGGGUGAGUCGACCCCUAAGGCGAGGCCGAAAGGCGUAGUCGAUGGGAAACAGGUUAAUAUUCCUGUACUUGGUGUUACUGCGAAGGGGGGACGGAGAAGGCUAUGUUGGCCGGGCGACGGUUGUCCCGGUUUAAGCGUGUAGGCUGGUUUUCCAGGCAAAUCCGGAAAAUCAAGGCUGAGGCGUGAUGACGAGGCACUACGGUGCUGAAGCAACAAAUGCCCUGCUUCCAGGAAAAGCCUCUAAGCAUCAGGUAACAUCAAAUCGUACCCCAAACCGACACAGGUGGUCAGGUAGAGAAUACCAAGGCGCUUGAGAGAACUCGGGUGAAGGAACUAGGCAAAAUGGUGCCGUAACUUCGGGAGAAGGCACGCUGAUAUGUAGGUGAAGCGACUUGCUCGUGGAGCUGAAAUCAGUCGAAGAUACCAGCUGGCUGCAACUGUUUAUUAAAAACACAGCACUGUGCAAACACGAAAGUGGACGUAUACGGUGUGACGCCUGCCCGGUGCCGGAAGGUUAAUUGAUGGGGUUAGCGGUAACGCGAAGCUCUUGAUCGAAGCCCCGGUAAACGGCGGCCGUAACUAUAACGGUCCUAAGGUAGCGAAAUUCCUUGUCGGGUAAGUUCCGACCUGCACGAAUGGCGUAAUGAUGGCCAGGCUGUCUCCACCCGAGACUCAGUGAAAUUGAACUCGCUGUGAAGAUGCAGUGUACCCGCGGCAAGACGGAAAGACCCCGUGAACCUUUACUAUAGCUUGACACUGAACAUUGAGCCUUGAUGUGUAGGAUAGGUGGGAGGCUUUGAAGUGUGGACGCCAGUCUGCAUGGAGCCGACCUUGAAAUACCACCCUUUAAUGUUUGAUGUUCUAACGUUGGCCCCUAAUCGGGGUUGCGGACAGUGUCUGGUGGGUAGUUUGACUGGGGCGGUCUCCUCCUAAAGAGUAACGGAGGAGCACGAAGGUUGGCUAAUCCUGGUCGGACAUCAGGAGGUUAGUGCAAUGGCAUAAGCCAGCUUGACUGCGAGCGUGACGGCGCGAGCAGGUGCGAAAGCAGGUCAUAGUGAUCCGGUGGUUCUGAAUGGAAGGGCCAUCGCUCAACGGAUAAAAGGUACUCCGGGGAUAACAGGCUGAUACCGCCCAAGAGUUCAUAUCGACGGCGGUGUUUGGCACCUCGAUGUCGGCUCAUCACAUCCUGGGGCUGAAGUAGGUCCCAAGGGUAUGGCUGUUCGCCAUUUAAAGUGGUACGCGAGCUGGGUUUAGAACGUCGUGAGACAGUUCGGUCCCUAUCUGCCGUGGGCGCUGGAGAACUGAGGGGGGCUGCUCCUAGUACGAGAGGACCGGAGUGGACGCAUCACUGGUGUUCGGGUUGUCAUGCCAAUGGCACUGCCCGGUAGCUAAAUGCGGAAGAGAUAAGUGCUGAAAGCAUCUAAGCACGAAACUUGCCCCGAGAUGAGUUCU
rnacentral:rRNA from 1 species